rnacentral:lncRNA from 1 species
UUUUUUCUUUUCUGAGAAGUUACCUGCAGCCAUUCCCGUCUCGGGCCCCGUUUGGGGUUUUACCCGAGAAAAGGUGGUUUGGGGAGAGGUGGGUGCUCUCCCACUAUCCUAUGCGUACCUGUGACACUAGGAGGGAGACGUGGGAGGAGGAACUGGAGCAACUGAUGGGCCUCAGAGCUGGAGGAAGCUUCCAGAAUGAGUUAGAGGGACCACCCCGUUCACUUCCCUCCCUCUCUCACCCCUCCCAAGUGCUCGGUAAGCAGCCCUGUGGGGGCCUCCUUCGCGUGGAGAUAAGAUACAAAGACAGCCCUUAGCUGUGGGGGCACAGGCCUGUGACUGCUGGAAAGGCUGCCCUCCUGUCUCCCCACCUCUCCCUUUCCUCAGGCAGCUCCAAGACAUAACAGCGCGGGGGAGAGUGUGGGCUUGGAGUCAGACAGACCGGCUUUCUGUGGCCGUGACUCCAACUUCCCGACUAAUUGGCAGCAUGACCUUGGGCAUGUCCCCUCCCUUGCUCGCUAAGCCUCAGCUUCUUCCGGGCACCACCCGCCUCCCUCUCCCAGCGCCCAGCCACUUGGCUUGUGGCUCAAGGUUACAGCUUGGUCUUUGCGACACGGGCGCCCUGUCUUCCUCCGCAGUGUGCUGUGAGUGCCAAGGCCGGCUUUCCUCCAUGCCUCUGCUCAGGGAGAAGCAAUUCGGAGUCUAAUGGGCCUGCGGAACAGAAAUGAGAAAGAGCCUAAGGAGUACCGUCUGCGGAGAGGCCAGCUUGGAAGAACCUGUGUUUGCAGCAAAGGCGGAUGGCGGUCAGAAGACGGCCUCGUGGGGUCUCUGCCAGGCCUGUUUGGAGGACCGGGCGGCUGAGGGACUGGAGUGCAGGGCUGCCGGAUCCGUGUCUGCUGGAUCGGUCUGGCCUCUCCAAGCGCGGUUCGGCCUCGAGAAGCUGUGCAACAGGUCUGGUCCCAUUUCAUCUGGCUUUCUCCUCCCGUGGAGUGAUAAGCUCUUCAAACAGACAUUCCUUCCUUGUGCCCGUAAGACAAGGGAAUGGUAAACACAAGAUUCAGGAUGAUGGCUGGUAACCAGGAUGACGAGAUGUGAGGUCACCAGAUGGUUUGCUGUAGAUUGUUUGCUUUUGUUUUGGUCAGCGGGAUUAUGAGUGCUCAUGACAUUGCAAAAAAAUUACUUAUCAACCUGAAGAAAUAAAUAAGUAAAUAAGCCACCCUAUAUCUGAGCA